ACCUUCCCUCAGCCCUCUCACUUCUUCAAGAUCCUACGUACAAGUGCACAAAUGAGCACUUGAACUAGAAUCUAGAAUCUAACUUGAAGAAGAGAAAAUUGUUAGAUUAGUUUCAAUAAGGAGCAUAUCAGAUGUACCUUUGAAAGGCCCAUCCUUCUUCCUGCUCUUGACAGUCGCUAGGUAGGCCGGACAGUUCCUUCUCCAGUAGCCUUCGACAUUGCAAUGAAAAUAU
rnacentral:lncRNA from 1 species